rnacentral:rRNA from 1 species
CGCUGGCGGCAGGCCUAACACAUGCAAGUCGAGCGGAUGAAGGGAGCUUGCUCCCUGAUUCAGCGGCGGACGGGUGAGUAAUGCCUAGGAAUCUGCCUGGUAGUGGGGGACAACGUUUCGAAAGGAACGCUAAUACCGCAUACGUCCUACGGGAGAAAGCAGGGGACCUUCGGGCCUUGCGCUAUCAGAUGAGCCUAGGUCGGAUUAGCUAGUUGGUGAGGUAAUGGCUCACCAAGGCGACGAUCCGUAACUGGUCUGAGAGGAUGAUCAGUCACACUGGAACUGAGACACGGUCCAGACUCCUACGGGAGGCAGCAGUGGGGAAUAUUGGACAAUGGGCGAAAGCCUGAUCCAGCCUUGCCGCGUGUGUGAAGAAGGUCUUCGGAUUGUAAAGCACUUUAAGUUGGGAGGAAGGGUUGCUGAUUAAUACUCUGCAAUUUUGACGUUACCGACAGAAUAAGCACCGGCU